CUUAUAAGCAGGUGCUCACACCCUGUGCAGGAGUCAGUGCCUGUCAGGACACAGCAUGGACAUGAGGGCCCCUGCUCAGCUGCUGGGCCUCCUGCUGCUCUGGCUCCUAGGUGCCAGAUGUGCUGCCCAAGUGGUAACCCAGAGUCCAUCCAUUGUGUCUGCACCUGUGGGAGGCACAGUCACCAUCAAUUGCCAGUCAAGUCAGAGUGUUGCUUACAACAUUGCUCUAUCCUGGUAUCUUCAGAAACCAGGGCAACCUCCAAAGCGCCUGAUCUAUGCUGCAUCCACUUUAGAUUCUGGGGUCCCUGACAGGUUCAAGGGCAGUGGAUCUGGGACAUCAUUCACUCUCACCAUCAGCGGGGUGCAGGCUGAGGAUGCAGGAACCUACUACUGUCAAGGAGGUUAUAGUGAUGAAACUCGCACAGUGAUACAAGCCUGAACAAAAACCACCCAG